GGCGCUAUAGCCAAGUGGUUACGGCGACAGAUUCGAAUUACGAUAUCUGUUCCUCUUUGAGGGCGCAGGUUCAAAUCCUGCUGGCGUCG